UACGAAGGGGGCUAGCGUUGCUCGGAAUUCCUGGGCGUAAAGCGCACGUAGGCGGCUCUUUAAGUCGGGGGUGAAAUCCUGGAGCUCAACUCCAGAACUGCCUUCGAUACUGUAGAGCUUGAGUUCGGGAGAGGUGAGUGGAACUGCGAGUGUAGAGGUGAAAUUCGUAGAUAUUCGCAAGAACACCAGUGGCGAAGGCGGCUCACUGGCCCGAUACUGACGCUGAGGUGCGAAAGCGUGGGGAGCAAACAGG
rnacentral:rRNA from 1 species